rnacentral:rRNA from 1 species
UUGAAAGGGAAACGAUUGAAGUCAGUCGCGCUGGCGCGAAAUCAACCUUCUCGUCUUGAGAUCACAUGGCGUGGCGAGCCUCAAAACCGUCACGAAGCGUGAACUCUUGGUGGAAUGGAGCACUUUCGUGUCCGCUGGUUAACAUCAAUUUCGAACGUCAUAAAAAGGCUGGAGGGAUGUGGCUCCUUCGGGAGUGUUAUAACCUUUAGCGGAAUGUGGUGGUCGGGAUUGAGGAUUGCAACGAAUACCUUUAGGGCUGUUCCACCUGGCUUCUCUUUGGUAUCCUGGUGACGACAGCUUGCUGACGUCGUUAGGAUUCGCCUUUGAACAGGCUAGAGUGUGAGCAAAUCGUUAAGGAUGUUGACGUA